rnacentral:rRNA from 1 species
CCUACGGGGGACAGCAGUCGAGAAUCUUUCACAAUGGGCGAAACCCUGAUGCUGCGACGCCGCGUGGGGGAAUGAAGGUCUUCGGAUUGUCAACCCCUUUCAUGUGGGAGCAAAUUAAAUAGAUAGUACACCAAGAGGUAGAGACGGCCAACUCUGUGCCAGCAGCCUCGCUAAUACAGAGGUCUCAAGCGCUGUUCGGACGCACUUGGCGUAAAGCGUUCGUAGUCUGUUUCGUAAGUCGUGGGUGAAAGGCGCGGGCUCAACCCGCGAACGGUACAUGAUACUGCGAGACUCGAGUUAGUGAGGGGAAACCGGAAUUCGCGGUGUAGCAGUGAAAUGCGUAGAUAUCGAGAGGAACACUGGUGGCGAAGGCGGGUUCCUGGACAUUAACUGACGCUGAGGCACGAAGGCCAGGGGAGCGAAAAGGAUUAGAUACCCGGGUAGUC